GACGUAGGGGGCCAGCGUUGUUCGGAAUUACUGGGUGUAAAGGGUUCGUAGGCGGUGUGGCAAGUCGGGAGUGAAAUUUCUGGGCUCAACUCAGAGACUGCUUCCGAAACUGCUGUGCUUGAGUGUGGGAGAGGCGCGUGGAAUUGCAGGUGUAGCGGUGAAAUGCGUAGAUAUCUGCAGGAACACCCGUGGCGAAAGCGGCGCGCUGGACCACGACUGACGCUGAGGAACGAAAGCUAGGGGAGCAAACAGG
rnacentral:rRNA from 1 species